rnacentral:misc_RNA from 1 species
GAUGAAGAACGUAGUGAAAUGCGAUAAGUAGUGUGAAUUGCAGAAUUCAGUGAAUCAUCGAAUCUUUGAACGCACAUUGCGCCCCAUGGUAUUCCGUGGGGCAUGCCUGUUCGAGCGUCAUUUACCCCCUCAAGCUCCGCUUGGUGUUGGGCGUCUGUCCCGCUUCGCGCGCGGACUCGCCCCAAAGGUAUUGGCAGCGGUCGUGCCAGCUUCUCGCGCAGCACAUUGCGCUUCUCGAGGCACCGGUGGGCCCGCGUCCAUCAAGCUCACCCCCCAGUUUGACCUCGGAUCAGGUAGGGAUACCCGCUGAACUUAAGCAUAUCAAUAAGCGGAGGA